rnacentral:rRNA from 1 species
AUGAACGCUGGCGGCGUGCUUAACACAUGCAAGUCGAACGGAAAGGCCCAAGCUUGCUUGGUUACUCGAGUGGCGAACGGGUGAUUAACACGUGGUUGAUCUGCCCUGCACUUCGGGAUAAGCCUGGGAAACUGGUUCUAAUACCGGAUAGGACGAUGGUUUGGAUGCCAUUGUGGAAAGUUUUUUCGGUGUGGGUUAAGCUCCCGGCCUAUCAGCUUGUUGGUGGGGUAUUGGCCUACCAAGGCGUCGACGGGUAGCCGGCCUGAGAGGGUGUACGGCCACAUUGGGACUGAGAGACGGCCCAGAGUCCUACGGGGGGCAGCAGUGGGGAAUAUUGCACAAUGGGGGCAAGCGUGAUGCAGCGAGGCGGCGUGGGGGAUGACGGCGUUCGGGGUGUAAACUCCUUUCGCGAGGGAGGAAGCGUUUUUGUGACGGUACCUGGAGAAGAAGCACCGGCUAACUACGUG